GACGAACGCUGGCGGCGUGCUUAACACAUGCAAGUCGAACGGAAAGGCCCUGCUUUUGUGGGGUGCUCGAGUGGCGAACGGGUGAGUAACACGUGAGUAACCUGCCCUUGACUUUGGGAUAACUUCAGGAAACUGGGGCUAAUACCGGAUAGGAGCUCCUGCUGCAUGGUGGGGGUUGGAAAGUUUCGGCGGUUGGGGAUGGACUCGCGGCUUAUCAGCUUGUUGGUGGGGUAGUGGCUUACCAAGGCUUUGACGGGUAGCCGGCCUGAGAGGGUGACCGGCCACAUUGGGACUGAGAUACGGCCCAGACUCCUACGGGAGGCAGCAGUGGGGAAUAUUGCACUAUGGGCGGAAGCCUGAUGCAGCAACGCCGCAUGCGGGAUGACGGCCUUCGGGUUGUAAUCCGCUUUCGCCUGUGACGAAGCGUGAGUGACGGUAAUGGGUAAAGAAGCACCGGCUAACUACGUG
rnacentral:rRNA from 1 species